AAGGUGCAGAAAGAUGACAUUGAGGUUCGGUUCUAUGAGGAUGAUGAGAAUGGAUGGCAGGCCUUUGGGGACUUCUCUCCCACAGAUGUGCAUAAACAGUAUGCCAUUGUGUUCCGGACACCCCCCUAUCACAAGAUGAAGAUUGAGCGGCCUGUAACAGUGUUUCUGCAACUGAAACGCAAGCGAGGAGGGGACGUGUCUGAUUCCAAACAGUUCACCUAUUACCCUCUCGUGGAAGACAAGGAAGAGGUGCAGCGGAAGCGGAGGAAGGCCUUGCCCACCUUCUCCCAGCCCUUCGGGGGUGGCUCCCACAUGGGUGGAGGCUCUGGGGGUGCAGCCGGGGGCUACGGAGGAGCUGGAGGAGGUGGCAGCCUCGGUUUCUUCCCCUCCUCCCUGGCCUACAGCCCCUACCAGUCCGGCGCGGGCCCCAUGGGCUGCUACCCGGGAGGCGGGGGCGGGGCGCAGAUGGCCGCCACGGUGCCCAGCAGGGACUCCGGGGAGGAAGCCGCGGAGCCGAGCGCCCCCUCCAGGACCCCCCAGUGCGAGCCGCAGGCCCCGGAGAUGCUGCAGCGAGGUAUGGACUCCGGGGCACGGGCGGUCGGGGCGCCGGGGCUGAGGACCUAGCCCUGACCCACGCCCUCUGUGGCCCGUAGCUCGAGAGUACAACGCGCGCCUGUUCGGCCUGGCGCAGCGCAGCGCCCGAGCCCUACUCGACUACGGCGUCACCGCGGACGCGCGCGCGCUGCUGGCGGGACAGCGCCACCUGCUGACGGCGCAGGACGAGAACGGAGACACGUGCUGCGAAACGUUAAGUGCAGGCGCAGCGAUGCCCUGGGCCACGUGCUGGGUUCCAUGGGCCCCAGCGAGGGAGACUAUGAGGGCGGUGGGGCCUUGAAAGCGAAGGAUGCUCUGAGUGGCUGGGCCAGACUC
rnacentral:sRNA from 1 species